rnacentral:rRNA from 1 species
GGAAUCCACUCUGGAGUGUGCAACAACCCACCUGCCGAAAGACUCAGCCCCGAAAAUCAACGGCGCUCAACACCGAUCGCAGGCCAUGGGCGAUUCGUUAGGCGAUCCAUGCGCAUGACGGCGUGGGGUCCAUCGGGCAGCGUCGGAAUGAGCCGCGGUGAAACGAAUCCUAUAGCCGAUUUUGGUGGUAGUCGCGCAUAGUCAAAGGAGCACCUUGAAGACUGAAGUGGAGAGGGGUUCCUCUAUAUGAAGAGUUAUCGGACAUGAGUUAGUCGAUCCCAAGAGAUGGGCAACUCUGGUUCAAGUGCGACCUUGCCGCAGCCCUUCGAAGGGCA